UUUUUUGUAACUUGUUUGAUAGGGUUUUUAUAGUUAUGUUGUUAGUCUCGACAACGACUCUGUUUUGAAGUGGUGUUAGUUUCUUUUAUUUAUAUUUUUCUCUUCUGAAACCUUCUAUAUGAUUCAGUCCUUUGAGGAAAGAGACAGAUUGCAUUCAACUUAGAAAUCAAAGUAGAACGUUGCUUGGUCUUGGUUUGGCUUUUGAAACUCAAUCUACGUUCAAAGUUGUGAAUUAAGUCAACUAACCUUGUUUGCUUCACCAGAAACAAAUCUUUGUAACUUAUUUGAUUGGAACCAUGCCUUCGUUUAAACUGAAACUCCUUGUGCCGGUAGGAUGACUUGGAUUUAUCUUUGUAUGGCAGAGGGGUGUCGUCAUGCAGAAAAAGGAAAUGAAUUUUGCCCGGUUCCAUUCUCAAAAGAAGAAAUUAUGAUGGGAUGAUUUUUUUUUCACUGAGACUUUAUGUAUCAUCAGGUAUUGGGAUUAUAAUUUUUCAUCGCAGCUAUUCUAGUGGCCAUUCCUCCCUCCUACUUCUCUUCUUUCCUAAGCUUUAUGUGCAAGUGCAAGCGAGCAUAUGUGUGAUUUACUUUUCUUAAAAAUCUUGCUUGCUGUUUAUUACAUUUACUUUUUUUGGAAGUGCUUUUGUUACGUAUUUGUAUAGAACAAGGAUGGUCCCG
rnacentral:lncRNA from 1 species